GACGAACGCUGGCGGCGUGCUUAACACAUGCAAGUCGAACGGUAAGGCCCUUUCGGGGGUACACGAGUGGCGAACGGGUGAGUAACACGUGGGUAAUCUGCCCUGCACUUCGGGAUAAGCCUGGGAAACUGGGUCUAAUACCGGAUAUGAGUCCCGGCCGCAUGGUCUGGGGUUGGAAAGUUUUUCGGUGCAGGAUGAGCCCGCGGCCUAUCAGCUUGUUGGUGGGGUAAUGGCCUACCAAGGCGACGACGGGUAGCCGGCCUGAGAGGGUGAUCGGCCACACUGGGACUGAGACACGGCCCAGACUCCUACGGGAGGCAGCAGUGGGGAAUAUUGCACAAUGGGCGGAAGCGUGAUGCAGCGACGCCGCGUGGGGGAUGACGGUCUUCGGAUUGUAAACCCCUUCCAGUAGGGACGAAGCGCAAGUGACGGUACCUGCAGAAGAAGCACCGGCCAACUACGUGCCAGCCGCCGCGGUAA
rnacentral:rRNA from 1 species